CUUCAGCGCUCCGAGUGUUUAUAGCGUUCAGACUCCAACACUUUAUAACACACUGCUGUUUACCACGGUACAAAACCAACAAACACUAUGAAUCUCUUCAGCAGCUUCAUCUGGAUUCUGGCAGCUUUUAUUCCAGCAGCAUCCAGAGGAAUCACUGUGACUCAGCCUGAAGCUGUGACUGUUUCUGAAGGACAAGACGCCACUAUAGAGUGUAAAACUGAUCCUAAAAUAAGUGGCUGGGGUUUAGCUUGGUAUCAGCAGAAACCUGGAGAAACUCCUAAACUCAUCAUUUAUCAGAAGAAAAUACAUUCAGGAACUCCAUCUAGAUUCAGUGGCAGUGGAUCUAACAGUGAUUUCACUCUGACCAUCAGUGGAGUCCAGACUGAAGAUGCUGCACAUUAUUACUGUCAGAGUUUUCACUGCAGAACAGAUUCUGAUGGUGAUUGUGAGGGUGGUGAUGUGUUCACACAGUGAUAAAGAGUGGUACA